GACGAACGCUGGCGGCGUGCUUAACACAUGCAAGUCGAACGGAAAGGCCCUGCUUUUGUGGGGUGCUCGAGUGGCGAACGGGUGAGUAGCACGUGAGUAACCUGCCCUUGACUUUGGGAUAACUUCAGGAAACUGGGGCUAAUACCGGAUAGGAGCUCCUGCUGCAUGGUGGGGGUUGGAAAGUUUCGGCGGUUGGGGAUGGACUCGCGGCUUAUCAGCUUGUUGGUGGGGUAGUGGCUUACCAAGGCUUUGACGGGUAGCCGGCCUGAGAGGGUGACCGGCCACAUUGGGACUGAGAUACGGCCCGGACUCGUACGGGAGGCAGCAGUGGAGAAUAUUGCACAAGGGGCGGAAGCAUGAUGCAGCAACGCCGCGUGCGGGAUGACGGCCUUCGGGUUGUAAACCGCUUUCGCCUGUGACGAAGCGUGAGUGACGGUAAUGGGUAAAGAAGCACCGGCUAACUACGUG
rnacentral:rRNA from 1 species